GUGCCAGCAGCCGCGGUAAUACGGAGGGUGCAAGCGUUAUCCGGAUUCACUGGGUUUAAAGGGUGCGUAGGUGGGUCUGUAAGUCAGUGGUGAAAUCUCCGUGCUUAACAUGGAAACUGCCAUUGAUACUAUAGAUCUUGAAUUUUCUGGAGGUAAGCGGAAUAUGUCAUGUAGCGGUGAAAUGCUUAGAUAUGACAUAGAACACCAAUUGCGAAGGCAGCUUACUACGGGAACAUUGACACUGAGGCACGAAAGCGUGGGGAUCAAACAGGAUUAGAUACCCUUGUAGUCC
rnacentral:rRNA from 1 species